GACGAAGGGGGCUAGCGUUGUUCGGAAUUACUGGGCGUAAAGCGAGUGUAGGUGGUCUCAUUUGUCCGGGGUGAAAGCCUUGAGCUUAACUCAAGAAGUGCCCCGGAAACGGUGAGACUCGAGUACUGGAGAGGGUCGUGGAAUUCCCGGUGUAGCGGUGAAAUGCGUAGAGAUCGGGAGGAACACCAGAGGCGAAGGCGGCGACCUGGACAGUUACUGACACUCAACUACGAAAGCGUGGGGAGCAAACAGG
rnacentral:rRNA from 1 species